rnacentral:rRNA from 1 species
GAAUAUUGGACAAUGGGCGAAAGCCUGAUCCAGCCAUGCCGCGUGUGUGAAGAGGGUCUUCGGAUUGUAAAGCACUUUAAGUUGGGAGGACGGGCAGUGAAUUAAUAAUUUGCUGUUUGGAUGUUACCGACCGAAUAAGCACAGGCUAACUCUGUGCCAGCCGCCGCGGUAAUACAGAGGGUGCAAGCGUUAAUCGGAAUGAUGGGGCGUAAAGCGCGCGUAGGUGGUUUGUUAAGUUGGAUGUGAAAGCCCCGGGCUCAACCUGGGAACUGCAUCCAAAACUGGCAAGCUAGAGUAUGGUAGAGGGUGGUGGAAUUUCCUGUGUAGCGGUGAAAUGCGUAGAUAUAGGAAGGAACACCAGUGGCGAAGGCGACCACCUGGACUGAUACUGACACUGAGGUGCGAAAGCGUGGGGAGCAAACA